rnacentral:rRNA from 1 species
GACGUAGGAUGCAAGCGUUAUCCGGAAUCAUUGGGCGUAAAGAGUUCGUAGGUGGUUUGUUAAGUUGGAUGUCAAAACUUUGAGCUCAACUCAAAGCCGGUGUCCAAAACUGGCAGGCUAGAGACAGGUAGAGGUAAGUAGAAUUCUGUAUGUAGGGGUAAUAUCCGUAGAUAUACAGAGGAAUACCAAAAGCGAAGGCAGCUUACUGGACCUGUUCUGACACUCAAGAACGAAAGCGUGGGGAGCAAACGGG